rnacentral:lncRNA from 1 species
UGAAAAUGUCAGCGAAGUGACAAGAACAUGACAUAAAGGAGAAAGAAGACUAGAAAGGGACAUGAACAUAAUAAUCAAGAAGUCGGAAGAGUCGAUGAAGAUUCGAAUAAAAAGGCGAAGCAGGGAAUAAGUGAUCGAACGUAGUGCCGCUCGUGUCGUGAGAGAAAGAACGUUGUGUUGGUUGCGACUUCUAUUGCAGUUUUAUCAGUGGUAACUUCUGUUUGUUGAUAUGGGAAAUAUUAAGUGAGCAUAAAAAGCCUUGUUGUGCUUCAUUUUUGUGUUACUUUCUUCUCUUUUUAUCAGGAAAAAGGUCGGUUUGACAUAAAAAAAAACAACUAAAGUGAGCUAAAAGAAAGAAAGGAAAAAAAACAGAUCAAAUUAGAACAGAAAACAACGAAGAGAACAGUAAAAAUAAUGAAUGCGUCAUAGAAACUGUUAUUUAAACCCUAUGCAUGUGCGCAGCCCCGACAGAGAAGGCAUAACUUGAUCCAUAUUCCAUAUCGACACACUAAAGAGCGAGCGAGAGCGUGUGAAUGCAAGACACCGUCAGAACAGGUGUAUGGGAUCACCUAUGAAUCAAAGGGUUUGCUUCCGAUCCUGAAAAUAAUCAGCACAACUAGCCAAACUCGUCUGGAAUUUGCUACUGGUGUGUCAUGAGGAUUGACGAGGAGACGGGACUAAACGCUGAAGAUCCGAGACUAGGAAAUUUGUGGUCUGGAAGGGUCCCUUUGCCGCACGCCUUCCUGAGAGUGGUCCCACGAGCGAAAAGGAAUACCUGAGGAGUGGUGAAAAGCUCAAACCAGUUAUAUUUUUUUUCUCUCUUCUUCAUUUUUCUAUUUGAUUUCCUCCGCAACCUUUGAAGUUUUCUCAGAAGAAACAAAUCUAAAUACACUGAAAAUGCCGCCGAUAAGAAAUUCACCGUUUAUCGAAGGGUCGUAGAUUAACGCUAUAAAAAAAGUGUAGAAAGAGAAAGAGAAGGAGAAUAGGAGAACAAGGAGUGAGAGAAAGAGAAAGAGAGAGAGUGAGAGAGAGAAAGAGAAAAGGAAAAAAAAGAGAAAGGAAAGAGAAACAGAGAAACAUCAAGUCAAAACCUUUCAUGUUCGUGUCCCCCUGAGAAUGAACAUCUGACGACACGACCUCGUCCGUUAUGUCUCAUGAUGGCUCUGUAAUGACGACUUCGGAUCCUGAAGUAUAGAUUACAGACCGCGAAGAUGACGACCACGCCUGACGUAAUCGUCUUGUUCGUCCUUUUUCUUCUGUUCUUGGCCAGCAGGAAGUGCUCGGGUUCCGAUGAAGCGGUUGGACUCGGCUGGAACUGGGAAAUGUGGUGGACAUACGACGGUAUCUCAGGUCCGGAGUUCUGGGGCGUGAUUAACCCAGCGUGGGCGAUGUGUUCGGAAGGGCGCCGUCAGUCCCCCAUCAACCUGGACCCCCGCACGCUCCUGCAUGACCCCAACCUGACCCCAAUCACUCUCGAUA